CCAUGCAGCCGCAGUCGCCCUUCGGACCCUGCCACUACGAGAUGAAGCAGUUCCUGGAAUGUGCCACCAACCAGCAAGACCUGACCUUGUGCGAGGGCUUCAACGAGGCUCUGAAGCAGUGCAAGUAUAACAACGGUGUUUCUUCUCUCCUGUGAAGAAUCUGCCCCCUUGUAGGGAAGAGGAUGGUGGUGUAGAGCCCUGCUAUCCCUGGGGAGCAGAAGGACAGACAGGGAGUGAGCUGGAGGGAGUAGACUGACCAGACAGGAGCAUUCUAGUGGUAAUUCACUUCUGAACUAGUACGGAAGGAAAGGAAUGAUUAGACCCAAGGGUCUUUAGAAUUCAGAUAGUGCUAUAUUUAUUACAGAGAAAUAAAGGAAUUUAUUUGGACCUAU